GGGAGAGAGAGCUGGGGCUGGUACAGCAGCACAGUGGCAAUGUGAAAAUAGACCUGUUGGCAAAGUUGCUGUUGUUGGAUGUGUGCACCAUGCUGCCUUAGCACACAAGCAGCAGCAAUGAACCCCAAAAGACUUGCAAGGAGUCCGGGACUCUCCGUGUGUUCAGGCGCUCCCGGGUGGCCAGAGCUGGGUGACAUGGGGAUGUCUCCUAAUACACAUUAAAAAUUCCCUGGCUGGGACUGGUGUUGCGGCGAGUGUAGAUUGGCUGCUAUGGGGAAUCCUGCUUGAAGGGAACCACUGUUUUCAGCUAUCCCUGCCAAGG